rnacentral:rRNA from 1 species
GGGUAACGGGGAAUAGGGUUCGAUUCCGGGAGAGGGAGCCUGAGAAACGGUACCACAUCCAAGGAAGGCAGCAGGCGCCGCAAAUUACCCAAUCCCGACACGGGGAGGGUCAGUGACAAUAAAUAACAAUAUAGGGCUCUUUCGGGUCUUAUAAUUGGAAUGAGUACAAUUUAAAUCCCUUACACGAGGAACAAUUGGAGGGCAAGUCUGGUGCCAGCAGCCGCGGUACUUCCAGCUCCAAUAGCGUAUAUUCAAAGUUGUUGCAGUUAAAAAAGCUCGUAGUUGAACCUUGGGCCUGGCUGGCCGGUCCGCCUCACCACGUGCACUGGUCCGGCCGGGCCUUUCCUUCUGGGGAGCCGCAUGCCCUUCACUUGGGUGUGUCGGGGAACCACGGACUUUUACUUUGAAC